GAAGCAAGCAGAGAGAAGCAUGGCAGGAGAGUAGCAUUCAAGCAGAAGAAGGCAGAAGCAACAGGAGGCAGCAGCAAUUGGAAGCAGCAACACCAUGUGGAAACUGAUAGAAUAUGGAAAAGGCCCCAGUCUGGGAGUUUUCUAACUUCCACUGACCUGCUGCGUGACCUUGGAGCCCCUGAGCGAUGAUGUCCAGCUCUCUGAGCUCUACCCACCUGUCCCUCCAUCUAAUGGCCCAGUCCACAGUGGACAUCCCAAGAAGUGGCCAUCUGUCCUCUCUGCCUAACGGGAAGAAAUGUUUUGAGCUGCAGCCUGAAGAAUUCAGAGACAAGGAGAAUGGGGUGACCCUGAGCAUUCGACACCAGAAUGGGGAAUGGAGGGAGAUUGAGAGCUUCUUUGAACUCAUGACUCUGCUGCCCGGAUCAUUUAUCAACAAUAACAUUCAGUUCAUGUCUCUCCAUUCCUUCAAAACCUCUAAUAGCGGCCAUCCACCUCUGCAGCCAACAGAAAUUCCGUACCAUCAACUUUAAGGCAUUCAAUCAACUCACCCCACCUUACCUCACCUCACUAAGUCUUCUACUAGUCCAUCCUGCCCAGUCUGCUUCUCUCCCCCCAACUUACUCGCUGUGCCCCGAUCACAUCUAUCUGGUCACCGACCCCUUUCCCACAUCCUCCCCCUAGCCUGGAACUCCAUCCCCCCUGUAUGUCUCCAC